GGAGCUCUUAUGUCAAAACGCAUAUAGUUUUCUCAAAACAAAACAUAAUAUUCAAAAUUUCAGCAUUAAAUAUAAUAAUUAUUAGGAUUUGACGACACAAUAAGAUUACGGAAACUAACCACAGCUUCGGAGGUCUUCCUGUUGUAACUUUGUUUCCAAUGUAAAUAGGAUUUCGGAAGGAAGUUUUUAAAAGAAGCAACUGAAACGAAAUAGAGAAGUUCGAAACAUCUCAGAGAAGCAGAUUUCGUCACUGAUUUCCACCGAGUUUAUUAGAAAACGAUUCUCAUGGGAAAAGAUUCGCUGCCAAACACAUUCGAAUUGCAACUUAUUUUGCUUUCGUCAAUUCAAACGGCUACUGGUGAAAUGGAAAAUGAUAAAAAUUUCAAACGAAAAAAGAACUGGAUACCAACUACCUAACGAUUCAUUCGAAACAUUGUUCAGCGUAUAAUUCCUACAAAGCGUCGACUUCGUCAAAAAGCUCAUCAAACUCCCAAGAGAAAAAAAAUAGCGAAGGAGGAACAGGAAAUUUGAAAAUUUAAACCAGUAGUUUUAAUAAAUUUCAAAAUUUAUUCAAAUCAUUUAUGCUCAUAUCGAAG